rnacentral:rRNA from 1 species
AGUGAACGCUGGCGGUAGGCCUAACACAUGCAAGUCGAACGGCAGCACAGUAAGAGCUUGCUCUUACGGGUGGCGAGUGGCGGACGGGUGAGGAGUACAUCGGAAUCUACUUUUUCGUGGGGGAUAACGUAGGGAAACUUAUGCUAAUACCGCAUACGACCUACGGGUGAAAGCAGGGGAUCUUCGGACCUUGCGCGAUUGAAUGAGCCGAUGUCGGAUUAGCUAGUUGGCGGGGUAAAGGCCCACCAAGGCGACGAUCCGUAGCUGGACUGAGAGGAUGGUCACCCACAUGGGAACGUGGACACGGACCAUGCGCCUAAGGGAGGCAGCAGUGGGGAAUAUGGGACAACGGUCGCAAGUCUUAUCCAGCCAGACCGCGUGGGUGAAGAAGGCCUUCGGGUUGUAAAGCCCUUUUGUUGGGAAAGAAAAGCAGCAGGUUAAUACCCCGCUGUUCUGACGGUACCCAAAGAAUAAGCACCGGCUAACUUCGUG